rnacentral:rRNA from 1 species
GACGAACGCUGGCGGCGUGCCUAACACAUGCAAGUCGAGCGAAUGAAGUUCCUUCGGGAAUGGAUUUAGCGGCGGACGGGUGAGUAACACGUGGGCAACCUGCCUCAUAGAGGGGAAUAGCCUUCCGAAAGGGAGAUUAAUACCGCAUAAGAUUGUAGUAUCGCAUGAUACAGCAAUUAAAGGAGCAAUCCGCUAUGAGAUGGGCCCGCGGCGCAUUAGCUAGUGGGUGAGGUAACGGCUCACCAAGGCGACGAUGCGUAGCCGACCUGCGAGGGUGAUCGGACACAUUGGGACUGAGACACGGCCCAGACUCCUACGGGAGGCAGGAGUGGGGAAUAUUGCACAAUGGGGGAAACCCUGAUGCAGCAACGCCGCGUGAGUGAUGACGGCCUUCGGGUUGUAAAGCUCUGUCUUCAGGGACGAUAAUGACGGUACCUGAGGAGGAAGCCACGGCUAACUACGUG